CACGCCGUAAACGAUGUCGAUUUGGAGGCUGUGUCCUUGAGACGUGGCUUCCGGAGCUAACGCGUUAAAUCGACCGCCUGGGGAGUACGGCCGCAAGGUUAAAACUCAAAUGAAUUGACGGGGGCCCGCACAAGCGGUGGAGCAUGUGGUUUAAUUCGAUGCAACGCGAAGAACCUUACCUGGCCUUGACAUGUCUGGAAUCUUGUAGAGAUACGAGAGUGCCUUCGGGAAUCAGAACACAGGUGC
rnacentral:rRNA from 1 species